CCGAUGGGCCUGAUACCCCUCCUCGGUUCCUCUGGACAGCAGCUGGGGAAGGCGAGGCCCUUGUGGGUGCCCGCCCCUCCGCCAGUGGUUUUCCGAACCCAACAUCCGCGCACGCCCCGAACCCGCCACAGCCACGGUGCCAGCACAGAAUAAGGCCCAGAUGAACUGUAUAGUAUUUAUUAAAUCAAUGAAAGGAAGCACAAAUGAGUAAAGAGACUAACAAACAGGAGACUGGUUUUGUACUCAAGAUUGAUUUAAAUUGAUGAAAGUUAAAGAAGAUUCAAUAACACAGUCCUCCAACAAUAUCCAGAUUACCCUGCCUGAAAUAGCAAAAGACAUGAUCAGAUUUUCUGACCCAAAGCAGGCUCUUCCCACUACAUCACAAACAAUUCCCUUGACCACCCCUUUAUGGAAGUCUUCAGGCCAGCAGCUGGCUUGAAGGUGGAUGGACACAGAGUUCAACAGGAGAGCAAUUUUCAUGGAGCUCUCAAACUCGAACAGAAAAUGAAUGACAUGGUUGCAUUCGCACCUGAACAAGCUGCCAUUGAGGUUAGGACUUGAAGUUCAUUGUCUUUUCUGGACGGUUGAGAAAUUCAACAGCUGAACAAGAGAAGAAUGGAUGAAUUGUUGCAAGGCUGAGAAGAGAGAUGCCUUAGGCUAGAUCUCUAAAGAGAAAGAUGUCUAAAAAACUACUGUAGAACCACUGGACACCUUGCACACUGCCUGAUAUAGAGUCAGGCUCAAUAAAUCUUUCCCAAAUGAGUGAUGAACCAAGAGUCUAUUGAAGGAGCCAAACUGAGGUCUCAAUACCCAGUGGAACACACAACAGCCUGUCAGGUUUGGAUGCAUGUUCAACUGUGCAUAUCUGGCCAUUUUCCUGAAGUUCCAUUGAAGAAAACUAUAAAAAUUGUGAUUUAAGCAUCUUUCCUGGCAACCCUAAAGAGGACUCCAGCUUAUGCCAAAUGAUAGAAUUACAGACUCUCUCCUUGGAAAGCUCUUUUCCCACGUACAGACUUUCACUGUCACAGUUCAUCUCCCAGUGAAGUGCUGUUCUCUUUAUUGGGGCUUUUUGUUCCUUGCAGGUUCUCAAACAUCCUAGCAUCGAUCAUUUUAACAAUCCCCUCUUCCCAUUCUCCUCUUUAAAAAAUUCUUCCCUUGCGUUUCCCUUGGGAAAGUUUCAUUAAUUUCAGAUGUUUACAAACUUGCAGUAUCUCAUAAUAGCCCUUCCCUCUAUCACCAGAAAAGUAUCCGGUCAGAGAAGUAAAAUACAUGAACUGGAGGCUCAGCAUUCUUUUCAACGCAUUCAUCUACAUUAGCCAAGUCUCAAGGGUCUUUGACUGUCUUCUAGCUGGAUGAUUCACCUGCUUGUGGAAUAUUUUAGUAAUUUUUUGGUAAUGGUCUUUGAGUUUAAGCCAGAGGCAGCCUCUGGAAGCAUAUAUUUCUAAAAUGUUGAAAACUAUAAACUUUGAACAGAAAAUAAUUCUCUAAGAACCUAACAUGAAGUUCUCU